rnacentral:tRNA from 1 species
GGAGAGGUGGCAGAGUGGUCUAUCGCGUCGGUCUUGAAAACCGAAGACGGGAAACUGUCCGUGGGUUCGAAUCCCACCCUCUCCG